rnacentral:rRNA from 1 species
CAAGUCGAACGAACCUUCGGGUUAGUGGCGGACGGGUGAGUAACGCGUGGGAAUCUGCCCUCAGGAGGGGGAUAACGGUUGGAAACGACCGCUAAUACCCCAUAUGCCGAUAGGUGAAACGAAUUUCGCCUGAGGAUGAGCCCGCGUCUGAUUAGCUAGUUGGUAAGGUAAAGGCUUACCAAGGCUUCGAUCAGUAGCUGGUCUGAGAGGAUGAUCAGCCACACUGGGACUGAGACACGGCCCAGACUCCUACGGGAGGCAGCAGUGGGGAAUUUUCCGCAAUGGGCGAAAGCCUGACGGAGCAACGCCGCGUGAGGGACGAAGGCCUCUGGGCUGUAAACCUCUUUUCUCAAGGAAGAAGAUAUGACGGUACUUGAGGAAUAAGCCGCGGCUAAUUCCGUGCCAGCAGCCGCGGUAAUACGGGAGUGGCAAGCGUUAUCCGGAAUUAUUGGGCGUAAAGCGUCCGCAGGCGGCCUUUCAAGUCUGCUGUUAAAGCGUGGAGCUUAACUCCAUUAUGGCAGUGGAAACUGAUAGGCUUGAGUAUGGUAGGGGCAGAGGGAAUUCCCGGUGUAGCGGU